AAAAUAGAUAAGAAGUUGAAAGUGGAAGCGACGAUAGCCCAGUUUUAAGUUUAGGGGCAGCAACAUUGUGCAUUUGAGCUUCUCAGGAUAAGUCACCAAUGGCAGCUGGGUUAGCUUUAUCCAUAGCCGUAACUCCAAAAUUGAGGUUAAUUUCCCACCAAAAUCAAUCUUCUGCACAAAAGGAUAAAUAUCAAGUAACUGGUAGCUGGAUGAAAACAGCUAUCUUCAGCUACCUAGAAGAUGAACUACAUUAAAGAAGCUGCUUGUGGUAUCUUUGGUAUCAACAGUAUCUUGGCUCCUUCAGCUUUUUUCUGUUAUAUGCAUAUUCUUAUUCACCACUUGAUUUUGUGCUUGAUGAAAAGGGGUUGCUUGAGCGACUUUUAUUGCUAUCUGAUCCUGAAAUUACCUGCAAAAGAUCAUUACUUUUUUAUGUGUUUGAAGGUUCUUCUUCAUGGUGGGUAUGCCAAUCAACAUUGCUGACAUUCUUCCAUCUGCAGCAUUCUCAUGAUAUUUUCUUGAAGUUGAAACUGUUUUCAAUUUGCUUUUACAAAGAUGUUCUUAUAUCACUUACUUGAGAGCUAGAUCGACUU
rnacentral:lncRNA from 1 species